rnacentral:lncRNA from 1 species
CCUGAACCCAGGAGUUUGAAACCAGCUUGAGCAAUAUAGUGAGACCCCUGUAAGAAUUAGCCAGCUGUGGUGGUGAGCAGCUGUGGUGAGCAGCUGUGGUGGUGAGCAAAUGUGGGCAGCUGUGGUGAGCAGGUGUGAGCAGCUGUGGUGAGCUAUGGUGAGCAGGUGUGAGCAGCUGUGGUGAGCAGGUGUGAGCACCUGUGGUGAGCAGCUGUGAGCACCUGUGGUGGUGAGCAGCUGUGGUGAGCAGCUGUGGUGGUGAGCAGGUGUGAGCAGCUGUGGUGGUGAGCAGGUGUGAGCAGCUGUGGUGGUGAGUAGGUGUGAGCAGCUGUGGUGGUGAGCAGCUGUGGUGAGCAGCUGUAGUGAGCAGCUGUGGUGAGCAGGUGUGAGCAGCUGUGGUGAGCAGCUGUGGUGGUGAGCAGGUGUGGUGAGCAGCUGUGGUGAGCAGGUGUGGUCCCAGCUACUCAGCAAGCUGAGGUGGGAAGAUCACUUGGAUCGCUUGAGCCCAGGAGGUCAAGGCUGGCCUGAGCUAUUAUUGCAUCACUGCACUCCAGUCUGGGCAG